GGCAAGAUGGCCGAGCGGUCUAAGGCGCCGUCUUCAGGACUCUGAUUGGCGGUCCGAAAGGGCGUGGGUUCGAAUCCCACUCUUGUCA
rnacentral:tRNA from 2 species